rnacentral:lncRNA from 1 species
UGCAGACUUACCCCACAUCCCUGUGGUCUGUGGAAGCUUUAUUACUGAAUUCAAUCACAGGAAUCUCGGCUGCAGCAAAGGAAUUGUAGUAACCCAGUCAGCUGAGGAUUGCAGUGAAUGAGACCAGCAAAGGUCUGAGCUUCAAUUCUGUAAGAUCUUGGAAGAUGUGGCUUCUUAUUCACAGACAGUGAAGAGUUCAACACAAACGAAAACCAGGCAGAGCAGCAUGCAGCUACCCGGAGUGUGUUGA